rnacentral:rRNA from 1 species
UACGAAGGGUGCAAGCGUUACUCGGAAUUACUGGGCGUAAAGCGUGCGUAGGUGGUUUGUUAAGUCUGAUGUGAAAGCCCUGGGCUCAACCUGGGAAUUGCAUUGGAUACUGGCAGGCUAGAGUGCGGUAGAGGGUAGUGGAAUUCCCGGUGUAGCAGUGAAAUGCGUAGAGAUCGUGAGGAAGACCCGUGGCGAAGGCGGAUCUCUGGACGGCUAACUGACGCUGAGGCGCGAAGGCCAGGGGAGCAAACGGG